rnacentral:rRNA from 1 species
UACGGAGGGUGCAAGCGUUGUUCGGAAUUACUGGGCGUAAAGCGCGUGUAGGCGGUUCGGUAAGUCGGUUGUGAAAGCCCCGAGCUCAACUCUGGAAUUGCGUCCGAAACUGCCGGACUGGAGUCCCGGAGAGGAAGGCAGAAUUCCCAAUGUAGGUGUGAAAUCCGUAGAUAUUGUGAGGAAUACCGGCUGCGAAGGCGGCCUUCUGGACGGUGACUGACGCUGAGACGCGAAAGCGUGGGGAGCAAACAGG